rnacentral:lncRNA from 1 species
CGGGUACCAAAAAUGGGACGCGGGGAUUUUUAUUUUUUUAAAAUAAUUUUUUUAGACUUUGCGCGACCAAUAUUCCUAUAUUCGUCGCGCAAAACUUUGCGCGACCAACAAUAUUUUUCGUCGCGCAAAGUGAUACGGUUUUUAAAACCGAAAUAACUCCUCCACCAUUUUCUCAAUGUCUUUCUCUACUCUUACCUCUCCUUUCUCUUUUCC